AAUAUUGUACAAUGGGGGCAACCCUGAUCCAGCCAUGCCGCGUGUGUGAAGAAGGUCUUCGGAUUGUAAAGCAAUGUAAGUUGGGAGGAAGGGCUUUAGGUUAAUACCCUGAAGAUUGGACGUUACCACCAGAAUAAGCACCGGCUAACACGGUGCCAGCAGCCGCGGUAAGACAGAGGGUGCACGCGUUAAGCGAACUUACUGGGUGGAAAGCGCGCGUAGGUGGUGCAGUAAGAUGGGUGGGAAAUCCCCGGGCUUAACCUGGGAACUGCUUUCAUAACUGCUGAGCUAGAGUACGGUAGAGGGUAGUGUAAUUUCCUGUGUAGCGGUGAAAUGCGUAGAUAUAGGAAGGAACACCAGUGGCGAAGGCGACUACCUGGACUGAUACUGACACUGAGGUGCGAGAGCGUGGGGAGCAAAC
rnacentral:rRNA from 1 species